rnacentral:rRNA from 1 species
AUGAACGCUAGCGACAGGCUUAACACAUGCAAGUCGAGGGGCAGCGGGGGUAGCAAUACCCGCCGGCGACCGGCGCACGGGUGAGUAACGCGUAUGCAACUUACCUAUCAGAGGGGGAUAACCCGGCGAAAGUCGGACUAAUACCGCAUGAAGCAGGGGCCCCGCAUGGGGAUAUUUGCUAAAGAUUCAUCGCUGAUAGAUAGGCAUGCGUUCCAUUAGGCAGUUGGCGGGGUAACGGCCCACCAAACCGACGAUGGAUAGGGGUUCUGAGAGGAAGGUCCCCCACAUUGGUACUGAGACACGGACCAAACUCCUACGGGAGGCAGCAGUGAGGAAUAUUGGUCAAUGGGCGCGAGCCUGAACCAGCCAAGUCGCGUGAGGGAUGAAGGUUCUAUGGAUCGUAAACCUCUUUUAUAAGGGAAUAAAGUGCGGGACGUGUCCCGUUUUGUAUGUACCUUAUGAAUAAGGAUCGGCUAACUCCGUGCCAGCAGCCGCGGUAAUACGGAGGAUCCGAGCGUUAUCCGGAUUUAUUGGGUUUAAAGGGUGCGUAGGCGGCCUUUUAAGUCAGCGGUGAAAGUCUGUGGCUCAACCAUAGAAUUGCCGUUGAAACUGGGGGGCUUGAGUAUGUUUGAGGCAGGCGGAAUGCGUGGUGUAGCGGUGAAAUGCUUAGAUAUCACGCAGAACCCCGAUUGCGAAGGCAGCCUGCCAAGCCAUGACUGACGCUGAUGCACGAAAGCGUGGGGAUCAAACAGGAUUAGAUACCCUGGUAGUCCACGCAGUAAACGAUGAUCACUAGCUGUUUGCGAUACAGUGUAAGCGGCACAGCGAAAGCGUUAAGUGAUCCACCUGGGGAGUACGCCGGCAACGGUGAAACUCAAAGGAAUUGACGGGGGCCCGCACAAGCGGAGGAACAUGUGGUUUAAUUCGAUGAUACGCGAGGAACCUUACCCGGGUUUGAACGCAUUCGGACCGAGGUGGAAACACCUUUUCUAGCAAUAGCCGUUUGCGAGGUGCUGCAUGGUUGUCGUCGGCUCGUGCCGUGAGGUGUCGGCUUAAGUGCCAUAACGAGCGCAACCCUUGCCACUAGUUACUAACAGGUAAAGCUGAGGACUCUGGUGGGACUGCCAGCGUAAGCUGCGAGGAAGGCGGGGAUGACGUCAAAUCAGCACGGCCCUUACAUCCGGGGCGACACACGUGUUACAAUGGCGUGGACAAAGGGAAGCCACCUGGCGACAGGGAGCGAAUCCCCAAACCACGUCUCAGUUCGGAUCGGAGUCUGCAACCCGACUCCGUGAAGCUGGAUUCGCUAGUAAUCGCGCAUCAGCCAUGGCGCGGUGAAUACGUUCCCGGGCCUUGUACACACCGCCCGUCAAGCCAUGGGAGCCGGGGGUACCUGAAGUCCGUAACCGAAAGGAUCGGCCUAGGGUAAAACUGGUGACUGGGGCU